UACCGAUUGAAUGAUUUAGUGAGGUCUUCGGACCGAUACCCGGAGCGGCCUUUCGGUUGCGCCGGUGUGUUGGAAAGAUGACCAAACUUGAUCAUUUAGAGGAA
rnacentral:rRNA from 1 species